rnacentral:lncRNA from 1 species
GUGCUCCGCUUCAGCAGUAGGGCAUUUGCCAGUUUGGAUCCUGGGUGUGGAUCUAGCACUGCUUAUCAAGGCAUGCUGUGGCAGGCACCUCACAUACAAAAUAGAGGAAGAUGGGCACAGAUGUUAGCUCAGGGCCAAUCUUCCUCAGAAAAAAGAGGAUUGGUGGUGGAUGUUAGUUCAGGGCUAAUCUUCCUCAAGAAAAAAAAAAAAAGAAGUGAUAUAGGGGCUGACCCAGUGGUGUAGUAGUUAGAUUUGCAUUCCCCACUUUGACAGCCUGGGGUUUGCGGGUUUGGAUCCCUGGUGCCACAAACCUACACACUGCUCAUCAAGCCAUGCUGUGGCGGCAUCCCCCAUACAAGAGAGGAAGAUUGGCAUGGCUGUUAGCUCAGGGACAAUCUUCCUCAGCACAAAAAAGAAAGAAAGAAAGAAAGUGAUAUGCAGCUGUGAUUAAACUGAGAGCUCGUGAAACCCGCCUGCCAUCAUCAGCGGCAAUGCCAGGGUUUGGGAGAGCUUCUGGCUGACCUGCUGUUCAGCUGGCCUCCACCCUUCCCCCAACCACCAGGACAUUUAAGCAAAACAACCUGCUUUUGCCCGAAUGACCCAGGUUGAUGAGGCCUGGAGACAUCUGAGAUGUAGAUCACAAGAGCUUCUGAAAAUUCAACUAUUAAAUCAACACAAUGUAUCAGAAUAGAGAUAUAAAAAAUGGAUUCCCGGACCAAUAGAACUGAGACGUAACUUCACAUAUCUAAGGAAAGAGAUGCUGUGUGAAUUAUUGGAAAUAUAGUGCAAUGAUAAGACAGAUAUCCUUCUUGUCCUCAAGACCUAGAAUACUAGUAGGAAACACAAACAUUGAACAAAUCAUCGUGCAAUUAAAACAAGUAAAACUUCUACAAUGGUAAAUCCUCUGAAGGACUGCAGGGUAAAAUGAAGGUCUUAAAGAUGCUGCAGAUGUGGUACAAGAAGAUUUGAAUCCCUUAUAGACAUUUAGGACCCCCAUCCAGAGGCAGUGUGUGUACUUCUUAAGAACUUGGACUCUGAAGAUGGAUCACCCACGUUCACAUCCCAACUUCCUAGUUAGCAAAAUCUGAGCCAGCCGACCCAGGAUGCUGGAGGAGAGUCAAGGCUGGGAAAGUACCGUGGACUGUGUUAGCAAUCAACAGAAAAGAUAUUUUUAAACAAAAGCAGUUUUCCAAGCUUCCCUGAAAAGAAACAAAAGGCUUUUCUAAAAUGAAUCCUGGUUAGAAACUGUUUUUCUUGUUCUACAACUUUUAUGUCACUUGGACCACAAGUGGGCACUUAGAGAUGGUUAUUUUCCUGUCGACAUCACUGCAUGGAUACUUCUUAGAACGACAUAACAGUGUUCAUGCUCAAUCUUCGCACCACUCACCCUCCAAUGACAGUGACUUUCAAAAACAAUAAAG